UCUUCAGAGGGGAAGGUCUAUCUCCUGAGUGAGGAGACCAGCACCUGGGAAAGCACAGUGCUGGGCAGGCUUUGGGGAGAAGAACGGAACUCCAGCCUGCUACCUUCCAGGCUGCAGGCCCUGAGGGAAGGGCCUAGCUGGUGCAAAGGGGCUGAAUGGGAAGUGGCCCAGGGAGAGAGGUGCACAAGGAGAGAGAAGGAGAGCAGGAAGGCUGCCACCAAAGGGUCCCUGGGUUGGGAACCAGAGUAGUGGGUGGGUCUGGGUCCCCCCUUCCCCCUUGUACUGUACCUGGCCAUGCAGUAGGGUGGUGGAAACAAACUGCAACUGGCCCUUGGGGCAAGGGGCUAGACUUUGGAGGUUGUGGUUGGCCAGUGCAAGGACUGUUGCUAACUGCCCCCCUCCCAGAAUAGGGUGAAGAGGGACUAGGGGGCACUGCUGGAGGGCAGUGGCCUGAAGAGGAUGCUGUCAAGCGGGGAGCAACACAGGUCCAGACACCAGCAAGGAACAGACAACGGAUGGGACACCACCAGCAGAGGGCGCUCCCCAUGAACUGAGCUAAUUCUUGGAGGUAACCAGCGGGAGGCGCUGUGGUGCGCCUUACAACCUCCCUGAUAUGGUUGGUCCUCUGCCCUCUCUUCCUUCAAAUUCCUCAGCCCCAAGGCCUAUUAGCUUCCUGAAAUCACUGUAAGAGAGUGGAAAACAGAAAAACCUGGAACACCAAGAUACGCGCUGAACACCAUCGCAAGCUGUUGAUCCCAGCUUCUCAUACUCCAUUAUUCAUCUGCCUGCUGGCUACCAAUGAGACUGUAAGCUCCUUGGGGCAGAGACUUUGUCUUUUUGUUUGUUUGUAAAGCUCUGAGGACACUUUAGAUCGUGUGUGUACACACAGACCCAGACACACACACAAAUUAAAGCAUGUGCGUGCGCACACAGAGAAAACAAUCUUUCCAAUUAUCCCCCUGCAACAACCAGCUCUAUGCUGCUUUCAUGAGGUUUAUUGAGUUCUGUCAAAUUACCUCCUUUCUUUAGAAGGCCUGCUCUGCAAUACAUACUGCAUAUUCCAGUAGGUAUAUCAGGCAUCCCAGUCUGCUGUUUAUGAAUGAUUACUUCUCAUAUUUUACCAAAUCUAUACACUACACACAGAAUGCUCAAAUCAGUCCCUAGCCCACAAUUAUAUUCACAGACCUAUAAUACUGAUUACACUUUGGAUCCUCCCCUAAAUAAAGUAUUUGGACUAUC